UACGGAGGGGGCGAGCGUUAUUCGGAAUCAUUGGGCGUAAAGGGCGCGUAGGCGGCCCUGUAAGUCUUGGGUGAAAUCCCUCGGCUCAACCGAGGAAUUGCCUUGGAUACUGCAGGGCUCGAGGCUGGAAGAGGGCAGUGGAAUUCCCGGUGUAGCGGUGAAAUGCGUAGAUAUUGGGAAGAACACCGGUGGCGAAGGCGGCUCUCUGGACCGAUACUGACGCUGAGGCGCGAAAGCGUGGGGAGCAAACAGG
rnacentral:rRNA from 1 species